rnacentral:rRNA from 1 species
AUUGAACGCUGGCGGCAGGCCUAACACAUGCAAGUCGAACGGUAACAGGAAGAAGCUUGCUUCUUUGCUGACGAGUGGCGGACGGGUGAGUAAUGCCUGGGAAACUGCCUGAUGGAGGGGGAUAACUACUGGAAACGGUAGCUAAUACCGCAUAACGUCGCAAGACCAAAGAGGGGGACCUUCGGGCCUCUUGCCAUCGGAUGUGCCCAGAUGGGAUUAGCUAGUAGGUGGGGUAACGGCUCACCUAGGCGACGAUCCCUAGCUGGUCUGAGAGGAUGACCAGCCACACUGGAACUGAGACACGGUCCAGACUCCUACGGGAGGCAGCAGUGGGGAAUAUUGCACAAUGGGCGCAAGCCUGAUGCAGCCAUGCCGCGUGUAUGAAGAAGGCCUUCGGGUUGUAAAGUACUUUCAGCGGGGAGGAAGGGAGUAAAGUUAAUACCUUUGCUCAUUGACGUACCCGCAGAA